AGGUUAGCGGCGGACGGGUGAGUAACUCGUGGGUAACCUGCCCAUAAGACUGGGAUAACUCCGGGAAACCGGGGCUAAUACCGGAUAACAUUUUGAACCGCAUGGUUCGAAAUUGAAAGGCGGCUUCGGCUGUCACUUAUGGAUGGACCCGCGUCGCAUUAGCUAGUUGGUGAGGUAACGGCUCACCCUGGCAACGAUGCGUAGCCGACCUGAAAGGGUGAUCGGCCACACUGGGACUGAGACACGGCCCAGACUCCUACGGGAGGCAGCGCUAGGGAAUCUUCCGCAAUGGACGAAAGUCUGACGGAGCAACGCCGCGUGAAUGAUGAAGGCUUUCGGGUCGUAAAACUCUGUUGUUAGGGAAGAACAAGUGCUAGUUGAAUAAGCUGGCACCUUGACGGUACCUAACCAGAAAGCCACGGCUAACUACG
rnacentral:rRNA from 1 species